rnacentral:misc_RNA from 1 species
UGAAAUAAGAGGAUGGUAAAUUCAUCCAUUCUUUAUUCUUAUGAACAGAAAAAGUGUGCUUUGCUUAAAUAUAUUAGUAUAAUAAUCCAUGGAUUAUAUAUAUAUAUAAUCCGUGAAUUUUCUAGUCCAUAUGGCCUGCAAACUGUUCAAGUCCAACACUAUUACAUCAGGGCCUAACCCAGAUGUGCACCGGGAGAUAAGGCCCAUAAUGAUGAACAUUUGAGAGAGACAUUACCUCCUACGCCUCCGGAAAACAAGACCCACCCUCAUGUCAGCUUGAACAGUGACACAAAGCCCCAGGUGUUGACAUUCCCAGAUAGGCGCAAAUGGAAGCGCAGAGCUAGGGAGUUAAACUCAUGGAAAGGAGACCCUUAACGCCAAAGUUUUCUUGUGAAUCCAUGCCUGCAUGAAGGCAUGCUGUCCGGUUCGUUGGCGCCCACAUGCAUGCUGGCUUUGUUUCUUAAGUUGCCGACACUGAAACUUCGGCUUGUCUUUUUUGCUUGCUUUAUUUUUCUCAAACUCGCUAAUCGCUUUUGGUGUAGGAAAUUCCAGGGGGUUUCAUGUUCAACCUCCUCAUCACCGAGUAAACUGAAUAAUGUUUGUCCACAGGAUUUGAGAAGCCACUUGGACCUGCCAGGUGAACCUGGAAGAAUCCAGUCAAUUGUGAGGUAACUGGAAUCAUGGUAGCAAUUGCUACAGCCUCGAUGAUAUCAUCACUUAUCAUGCUCCAAAUAUUCACUAAAUCCAAGACCACCAGCACAUUCCUGCAAAGCUUUUGUGUUGAGUUCUCGCCCCAGUCUCCAAACAUAAUUGAGACCAACCAAAAGCUCAGUUAUUGUUGCUUCAGUCUUUUCUUGAUUUGCAAAAUGAAGGGUCUGUACCAGGAGCACAUUUGUUCGUGAAACAAAGUUCUGCUGCUCGAAACUUCGAUCUGAUUGCCAUUUUAUCAUGUUAUGAGCAAGUGGAGCCAGCCAUUCUAAUAUUGUUGUAAUUGCAUUAGUCCACUCUCCUGCAAGAGCAGUAUCAUAACCAGACGAGGUCAAGCUCUUAGAGUAUGGCUUUAGCCUUGCUCUUAGUGAAUUCCUCACUUUUGAAGGCAACAUAUUGUACAAAUCAUCUCUUGCAUCAUGACCAAUUAAGUGAGGAGAUGCAGCUAACUUUUCAAUUACAACAAUAACGUUUGCAUAGUGCAGUGCCAAAGCAGCGGCACCAAGAGUUUCAGGAAGAGCAUCCGACAACUUGAACCUCGAACUGAGUAUUGAUGGUGCAGAAUGAGCCAUGCUGGCUGGAGAAAGGUAGUCAGUGCGAUAUUCAUUGGCUUCAUUAACAUUUCCAGAAUGAACAACUGUUGAACUUAAGUAGCAAUUGACAACAGGUGAACUAUUUGCAGCUACCAUACACCCUUUAAAAGGUCCAACUUGAGUAGAUCUAUUUGGUUUUGAGUGGAGUUUCUUCCCCAGAAAAGCAGGGGACUGAGGAAUCUGCCACAUCUUCUUGCUGAAUUUGUUUAUUCCCGAAAUAGGGCCUGACUUUGUUGUUGGCUUUCCAAGAGGACCUGAAAAAAAGUUCAUAUUCCUAUUCUUUCCAGAAAUAGGGCCAGACUUUGCAGUUGGACCACCAAGAGGACCAGAAUAGAAAUGAUUGGUUUUAUUUGAUUUUGAAAUUGGACCCGAUUUUGCAAUAAAUCCACCAAGGGGACCAGAAGAAAAUCUAGGAAUGCUACUGCUCUCCGAAGAAUGAACUGACUCCAUUAGUGCAGAAACUGACUGGCUGCGAUUAAUAUAAUCAGAAUUCACAACUUUUGAGUGCUCUGUGGAAACCAACAGAUUAAAGCCAAAGACAUGAUUCAUUCUACUGAAUAUUGUGAACAGUGAUCUCACUAGAAGGCGGACAGUAUAAUCAUAUGUUCUGUUCCAAAGUGAGAUCUCCCUAAGAUUUUUCACUUCCUGCUGUUUCCACACAAGCUUCUUCUGACAAUUAAGCAAAUUAUCAGGCUCCGGAUCAUUACCUUUGAUUCUCUUCACAGUCUGCUCAAGAUCUGAAAGCAUUUCCAUCUCUUGAUACAAUGUAGCAUUGAUUGAAAUGAAAUGUUCCAUCUUCUUAACUUUCUUAUCCAUCUUCCUAUACGAAAACUCCCACCCAUAUGGAUCAGUGCCAAGCUUGAUCCAUUCCUCAAAAACAUGCUCGAAACUCUUCAGAGUUGGGUCAGAGCAUUUCUUCCCCAAUCUGACCACAGAUUUCGCCACAUGUAUCAUACUCUCAAACAACUCUACACAAAUCAAACGAACAAUAAAAUCAUCAUCUUCUGAUACAAGCUUUUUUAUACCCUCGGAAUUUGAUAUCUCCUCUCUCAACCUAGAAACCUGUUUAUCACUUAAUGUCUGCCAUAGAUGAAUCAACUUAGACAUCAAGCUAGCAACUUCAAAGGCCUGAACUCCAAUCACUGCCUUUUCAGAACCUGACUCAUGCUUCCGUGGAAUUUUCAAGAGUCCACGAAACCACGAUUCCACAACCAUCUCUUGCUGCCAAAAUUCUGCAUAAAAAUAUUGUAAAGACAGACACUUAAAAGCCAAAACCCAGAUCAAAUCAAUUGAUUAUGCAAUGAACAUUAUAGAUCCACUAUCUAUAAUUUAGCAACUCUAUGAAUAGCCAACAAAAUUGGCAAAACUAACAUAUUGAAAGAAAAGCAAAUUCAAAAGACAUGAACAUAAUUAACCAAGAAUCAAAUGACUGAAGCGAUUCAUAACAGCUUACUGAAACUGGAUUAUUUUUUAUACUCUUUCUAAUGUUAGAACUUUUUAAUCUAAAAAGCUAAAUCUAAAUUUCUAUGUAACUAAACU